AAGGGAGUCCCGCGCCUGCGCACGGUAUCUUAUACUGGUCACGCGGACCAAUCGGCGCCCGCGCCUGGCGGAAGAGGCGGAGCGAGAAGCUCCUGCGAUGACCACCAGGGCGCCUGCGCACAAAGCGUGACUGGCUUGUUAGCGAGUUCGAAAAGUUGGUGGGUCCGCGCUUGUAGUGGCGUCUUCUCUUGGUUCAGCUGAAACUCAGGGCUAUGAACAGUAAAAAUAUUUGUAGGAAAAAGUUAUCUAGGUAAAUGGACGUCACUCCCACGUACUGUAUCCCAUGUAACAGUAUUUAGGCAUUUAAUGACGUCGGCAGCCUCCAUCAGCUGGCUGUGACCACUUGGAGCGCAGGAGCUAAAUUUCAGCCCGGAGGGCUCGCUUGCUUAGCGCAGCGUCUCGGAUAAAAUAAGUGAUUUAAGAGGAAGAGAGAAGCUUGUUCGGAGAGCAGUAGCAUUUGAGCGCCUAUAUCCCAGGGAUUGAGCCACACUCUACAAGGAUUCAUUUAAUCCCGACACAGCCUAAGAGUAUAAUGCCCUCAAGGCCCACCCAUUUGUCUCAGAUGGCAAGAUGUUAUACUUUUUUACAGAUAUCUUUGGAAACUUCGGGGGAAUCUCUGAUCUGCACCAGCAUCUGAUGUAUCUGAGGUCUGUGGUAUUCAACAAAGCUGCAGUUCUACAGGGUGACUCUGAAGACUGCUGGCUCUGCUUGGAGACAUCACCAACACAAAUGAAAAUGUUCUCUCAUUACUGAAACCGAUAAAGAUUUUGACUUUGGCCUCAAGAGAACAAGCCGCUUUUUGCAAAUGACAGCCCUCACCUCCGCGCAGGGAUUGCUGUACCCAGAGCGUGUGAGAAAAAUUAAAAGGCCCAAGUACAUUUUUUCAACUUGUCCACCAGUCCUGUUUUUCACAUGAAGUCUGGCAUCAUGUUCUCCCAAAGUUCACCUCUUCAGAACCAGCACUCAUCAGCUCCAAUUCUGAGGCCAACGGAGAAGCCAACCAGACUUUCUAUUGGCCAGUUACAAGGGCAGCUGUAUUUUAAUCCUCCAAAUGUCCAUAAAGCCUUUUGGGUUGUUUACGAAAGAAAAGGAAAGAAAUCAAGGAAGGAAAAGAAAGGAAAAGAAAAAUCCUACUAGAUCUAUUUGCUACUCUUUUGUCUGGGGGUAAAAUCAACACCCCGACCCGCCUCCAGUCCCAAGAGGAAGCCAACGUUCAAAUGAGCGGUGCUGACCGUGGCAAAGACAGGCUGGUGCCAUCACCUGUCACCUGCUGUCCCCCUGGCCGCUGUGUCGUGUCUAGCCCUCAGGAAUGCCAAGCAUGAGGAUCCCUGCUCCAGAAUAAGAGGCAGAGAAGCCCCACAGCCUCCAGCGAUAGGCUCCGACUGCUCUCAAGCCCACGGCAGCAUGUGUCCCCUUUCCUGACCCUGUCCUACAUCAGACAAGCGCAUGGCGGGCGCUGGGUAGAGAAGGAAGACAAGCUCCAGGAAAAGGAGGGAAAGAAACAAGGGACAGCAACUUACGUCCCCCCGCAAACAGGAACCCCAGCCUUGGGAGUAAACUGCCGACCCUGGGAGAGGGGAUUUCACAUGCAGUUUCUGACCUGGACACCCUGGGUUCGAAUCCUGCCUCUGCCCUUCAUGAUCAUGUGACCCCGGCAGGGAGAAGCCUCCAAGCACAAGCAUCAAGAGAUUCCUAGCCAGCCUGCCCUGCCAAAUGAGUUUGUCCAAAGGUAACAGCACCAGUCUGGCACAGAGGCUGCACUCCAGAAAGAGGCUUCUGCGUCCCUGGCAACGGAGUCCUCGAGGAAGUGGGGAGGAGGCGAGGAUAAGCCCGUGACAUCGGAUUCGGUUUCUUACCCCCACGGGCAGACCCGAUCUCACAGCUUUACAGGAGGUAAGAGACUUUAUCCCCCACUCUCACCCCCAGGCUUCUGUCAUGGGAUGAGCAGCCCUAAUGUUGAGACGGAGCCUAGAAAUGAGACUCCCUCUGACUCAAAGCAACUCCACGCUUCCCACCCGUCUCAGGACAGGCAAGUAGAAGGCAGGUUGGGGCAAGUGGGUCUGCAUGCUCUUUAAGAAUCUAUCCUUCCGUUUUUACAGAAAACCAGCCUGUCAAGUUUGGGGAAACGGGCCUACCUUCUGUCCCACAAAACCCCAGUGUCACCCAAGGAAAGGUGUAGCCACAAUCAUCGCAGAGAAGCGCCCCUCCCUCCGCCCCCGUCCCUCUCCUCCUGGGGAGGGGCGAGCGGAUGGCUACAAUUCUCUGAGCUGGUCCAAUGGGGAGACCCCAACCGGCGCCCCGGAAUCGAGACCGGGGGACGGAAGAUGGGGUGCAACCUGCCAGCCUCCCACGAGAGCCCCCACCGCCCCCCCACCCAGCACCCUGGCGGCAUCCAGACAGGGCUAACACCCCAACACCGCCAUCUGAGAGGUGUCCCAAAUAAUUUAAGCAAGAGGAAAUUGAGGCGGUUCCUUUUCACAAAGGGCUGCAUAAACCAGAGCUUUUAGCCACAAAACAGUGUCUCUUGUAUUCACACUCCAGUGAGCUUUCUUGAGUGAAAGGGAGAAACUAGAGAGAAUCAGAGCCAGUGAUCUGGGUGUGGCUCACAGCCAUAGGGUUUCUCCAGGGACGCCGGGGACACUUGGGUGCCAUCUGACAGCUUGACAGCUGGCACAUAUGUCUAGAGACGGGCCCACUCAGUCACUGUUCGCAGACGGCCCACUGAUGGGGCACCGCCUCUGGGCCAGCUGUUCCCACCAUAUUGCCUGUAACCCUUACCUCCAUCUCACAACGAGAGUAGUUGGGUUGGCCCCAUUUUACAGAUGAGCAAACUGAGGCUCAAGGAGGAUACGCAGCCUGCCCCGCAAUAGGGCCAGCGUGAAGCCAAGUGUGGAGUCCCCUUGAACACCCAGGCUUCCUGCCCAUGAAGCGGGUCCUGCCAGCUGCAGGACGUCCGUGUGGACCCGAGCCCCCAGGCUUCCGAGAGCCCUUCCACUGAGCCUCCCCCGCCCUCUGAGGUGCAGCGGCCGGGUACCUGGAGUAGCAGGAGAGGCCGGUGCUGAUGAUGGUGUUCAGCACGGCCAGGGGCACGUAGUAGUCAUGGAAGGUGGUGUUCACCAUCACGUUGGGGAUCGAAUAGGCAGAGUAAGCGAUGGCUGAGCCUGGGGAAGAAAAACCAGCUUUGGGCGGGAAGCCAGGACGCAGCACAGUCUGGACUCCUCGGGAAGACCAACCCCAGCAUCUGGCUGAGCCCUCAUUAUCCCCAGGGACCAUGAGCGUCCUGCCGCCAUACCUUGCCUGCGCCACUGCCCCUCCCAGAACGUCCUCCCUCUCCUCCCUGCCUACCCCAAUCCUACCCUGAGAACUUACUAUGAGCCCAGCCUGGCCCCCCCGGGGCUUCACACACGUUGACUCGCAGAAGGUUUACAAUCACCCUGUGACAUAAAUCCUGCACUCAUCCUCAUGUACAGAUGAUGAGACGGAGGCACAGAGAGGUCUAGCAACCCACCUGGGGGGCACCCAGCUAGAAAGCGGCAAAGCCAAGCUUCAGCCUGAGGCAGCUCAGUGAAAGCCCCCACUGUUAACCACAUGCCGUGGCCCACGAGGACCCCUCCACGUGCUCAGAUUUGCUCUGAGUGUGCACAUCUCACCUGCCGAUGACGCGGGGUGCCCCCGUGGGAAGGUGCAUGUAGCAGGGAGGGAGGGCCCUUGCCGAGGCGAGGCAUAUCGCGCCAGGGCGCUGGGGGACUGGCCAGCUCACGGGCGGGUAUGAGAGGCUAGGCUUGGUGUUCCGUUGCCUUAGGUCUGGGAGUCUGUGACAGAGGGGUUACCAAGGGCCCUUGAGAGACCUGUCUGCUGCAGCUUUUACUUGAAAGAACAGGGGAGAUCGCUGUCCUUUUCAAAGGGGCCAGGUGUGUCCAUGGGCCUGGCCCAGAAGCCCUCUCCAGCCACCCUCACCAGGUCUCCUCUGGGAGGGGAGAAGACAGUCACGGACCUGUCAGCCCAGGGCCUCAGGGGCCAGCGCUAAGCUCACCUGUUAUUCCAAAGAUCUAGAGAACGGUGAAAUCCCGGCUCAAGGCUGAAGCAGGCCUGGGCCACACAGGUUCACCUCUGCCUCUGACCCCAUUUAACAGAUGGGAGUCUGAUAAAGCCAAGGGGUGUUCCCACUCGGGGAAAAGAGCCGAGAUGGGAUUUCAGCUGGGAACUGACUCCCGGGGCACAAACUCUUCCUCGGCCUGAUACACCCGGGGGCUCCAUCUGGACCAGGAUGCACUUGCUCGGCGGGGGGCCAAGGUUUAUGCAAGCUCCGUGGGUGGGACAAGAGCAGGGGGACCUCAGACCCUGCCCCCAACCGCGGGGGGGGGGGGCGGGAAACGAAAUGACUUCCAAUAAGAAAUACACGUUUGGUCUCCUCCACUGUUCCUAGCACAGAGCUCCUAAAACCCCUGGAAUUUCCUAAGCGAGGACCGCCACAAAGGUGUCUCUCGUUCUGUUAAUGAGAUGACUUUGAAAAGCCCCUUCAGGAUGGGGGCCUGGAUUUCUGGAGACCAACCCUGUCGCCAGAGGGUUGGAAGCCUCAGUCCGGCACCUCCGACGCCCGGGAGGGGAGAGGGGCUGGAGGUGAAAUCAAUGGUAACUAAUGAAGUCUCCAUAAAAACCCAAAGGGAGAGGUACGGCGAGCUUCCCGGUGGGUGAACACGUGGAGAUUCAGGGAGAGGGGCGUGCUCGGUGGGCGUAGAAGCUCCAGGCCCCUCCCCAGGCCCUACCCUGGGCGUCUCUUCUAUGCGGCCGUCCCUGAGUUAUAGUCUUUUAUAACAGACCGGUAAUCCAGUGCGUAAAGUGUUUCUCUGAGUUCUGUGAGCCGGGGUCACUGAAGCCUUGGGUCUAUAGCCAGUCUGUCAAAGGCACAGGUAACAACCUGGGCUUGAGACAGGUGUCUGAAGGGGGCAGGGGGAGGGGGUGGUCAGUCUUAUGGGACUGAGCCCUUAACCUGUGGGAACGGUAUCAGAAAUGAGUUGAACUAUAGGACGCCCAGCUGGCAUCUGAGAAUUGCUUGGUGCCGUGGGGAACCGCACCCCUCCACGCAUACACGCAUUGUAAAUGGUGCUCAGACCCCUUUAGAGGGCUUUCCAGGGAGCAGGAGUAGAGGCAGCUUUGGAUUCCAGGCUAAGGAAAGGAAACAUCCUCUUUGAGGCAAUAGGGAGCCACGGAAGGUUUCCGAGUGAGGGAUUGAGAUGGCCAAAACCUAGUGAAAGUGCACAGGAUGACCUAGAGGGAGGAACAGCUGGAAACCAGGGAGGAAGUGGGAGCAAAUGCCAUCCGGGGGGGUGGGUACUGAGGGUUUCCACACGGGCAGGAGAGGCAGCUGCAGACAAAGGGGCGGGGAGGCCAAGGUGGAAUCCAUAGGCUCUCUCCACGGACUAGACCUCCCUUCCAUGUUCCCUGAACCGCUCCCACAUCAGGCACUGGGCCACAGGCUGGAAAGCCAAAUGCGAAGGAACAAUGUCCCAUCCUCAGGGAGCCAUUCUGAGCGAGGAGCAGCAAUGAAGACAUCACUGACCAGGCUGGGGCCCAGAGCCACAUGGAGGGGCUCCCGGUCCGGGGGCUUGGAGGGGGCCGUGGGUAGGGGCCGCUGAGGCUGCCGGGGCCGAGCCUUGAAGGCCCUGCAGGGAGGGAAAGAGGCAGUUCUCUGGUAAGGUCCUGUGUGGGGGCACCAGACGCCCAGGAACUCUUACAAAGACAGAAAGCCAGUGACGGGAAGGGAGACAGUUCGGGGGGGCGGCUGACCCCUGGGGCUUGGGUUCUAACCCUGGCUCUGCCAUUUGCAAGCUGUGCGACCUGAGUAACUCACUUCACGGCGCCUUAUUAUUCUUACCUACAGGGUGGGUACAGCGAUGGCCCCAUCCCCGGGAACCAACGUCAGGGUUAAGGACAUAAUCGUGGUAAUGGCUACCCUCCGAUGCUUGCUCAGUGCCAGGCACUGUGCGGGGUGCUCCCCUUGGCCAAACUCGUUUCACCUUCAUCCCACCCUAUGAGGGAGAUAUGAUGCCCAUUUUGUGGCCCAGAGGACUGAGGCUUAGUGAGGUUCAGAAACGUGCCCGCGAGCAUAUAAUGAUUAAGGGGCGGGGGCGGCCAGGCCACAAGCUCCGCCUUGUGCUGCCCCCCUCGUGAUGUGUGUCAGGGGCUCAGCACGCAGCCUGCUGGGUCGUGAUUUCUCCAAAAUGCCUGCUCUUAUCAUGGGUCUGGGGCGGGUGAUCAAGGGCUCCGGAAGCCUCUAGACUAAGGAGUGUGAACUUCCUCCGGGGUCACUGGGAAUCCUGAAAGGUCUUAGGUGGGCGGGGUGCCAUAUUGGAAGGUGUUAGAGAAGGCUCCCAGGAAGGAAGCUGGCUGGAGUGGGGGAGAAGCAGGAAGGGGAGGGGAGGCUGUUGUCAUGGUGCAGGGGGAGAGGCAGGCAGGGGGGUCUGAGUGAAGCCCACGCCGGGGAGCAAUUUGAAGAACGUGGGGUAGAGACUCACUGAACGGGGUGGACAAGAUGGUGAGGUUGCACGGGCAGGGGCCUGAGAGGGAGGGGACUCGAGGGCUGCGUACGGAUUCGGACUUGGAAGACCGGGUGGGGGUGCGACCACUAGCCAGGUGAGUCACUGCAGGAGGGGAGCAGGGGGUGUUGGGGGGGGGAUGAGGACAGUCGCGGGCGCGGGGCCGGACGCGGCGUGGACCUCAGGUGGGCGGUAAACCAGAGAUGGCUUUGGGAAUGCCCGGUCCAGAGGUGUCGGGGGAUGGCGUGGGCACGAGGGAGAUCACCCUAAAGCGGGACCCCGCAGCAGCAGAGGCCCAAGGACUGAUGGGGAGCUUGCCCGCUGACGGCAGAGCAGAGGAGGGGAGCCAGCAAAGGAGGGUGAGGACAUGGAGAGGCCGAAGGAGAACCGGGGAGUGAUGGGAUGGGGGCCAGAGAAAGGGGGGUGGUUUGGGGCACACGGCGGGGCCCCCCCCAUCAGAGGCUGGGAGAGCUCUCGGAAGAGCGGCCCAUGAGGCCACAGGGACCCGGCAGCCGGGAGGAGGCGGCGCCCUGGCCGAGGACAGCAGAUUGCUAAGCUUGCCCAGAUCUUGCAGGCCGACUGUUAAAACACGGCCAGCUAUACAAGCGUGCAAUUAAACAAGCACGUUCGCAGAAGUAACGACUUCCAGUUAGUGCAUCUACCGUCUCUGCACAGACGAACUUACUGCCUGAUGGUGCACCACCGUGUGUCUCUCCCCGCCCGCGUUCAGGGACGUCUGGCUCCAAGUUAGCCGCGAUGGGAAUCGUUUACGCCGCCCGAGUCGGCCAACACCACAGAGCAGGGCCCUUGUCCCCAGACGAUCGGUCGUUAGCAUUUGCCAGCACACCCUUGGCCCGGCUGCUUACCGGACACUCACCGGGAACCCAGAUGGGGCCCUGGCGUCCCCGUGACUCUUCCGCAAGCCCGCAACGCCUUCCGGUGGCCCCAGCUCCCAGGGGAAGGGGUGAGGAUCUCGGCCCCGGGCAGGGGAGGAGAGCGCGGGCCCCCACGUACCCAGGCUGAAGAGGUUGACGGCACCGUAGUCCAGGAAGUAGCAGAUGUGCCGGGCGUUCUUGGACAUGGAGUUGAAGGUAUGCGCACAGCUGGACGCAAGCGGGUACACGCAGCUGGUGCCCAUGUACACAAACAGAGGCCAGGAGUAGCUGUCAUUCCAGAUGUCUGUCACGUACAAGGCGGUCACAAACCUCCACGUGAAGAACCUGGAACACAGCGCGGCCCACUCGACCUCUGCGGCGGGGGGCUCCCCUCGCACCCCCCCCACCCCUCCCCGGACUCUCCGUUGCCCUCCAUUGCCCUGGGACAACUGAACCCCGUGUGUUCUCACCUCGGUGAAACACCAGGCGUGACGGAGGCAUUUUGCCUGAGUCCUUCAUUGAGCUGACACCUGUCUCCCCGGAAUCUCUCCAUUUGGUCAGCCCUGGUUCCCCCUCAACGGGACCUCGGGAGAACAGCCUAUCCCAUACCCGAGGCAGUCUUCGUAACCCUCCCCCACCUCUUUGAACGUCACAUUAAAUAACCUCAUGACACU